GACGAACGCUGGCGGCGUGCCUAAUACAUGCAAGUAGAACGCUGCAGGCGGAGCUUGCUUCUCCGGAUGAGUUGCGAACGGGUGAGUAACGCGUAGGUAACCUGCCUGGUAGCGGGGGAUCACUAUUGGAAACGAUAGCUAAUACCGCAUAACAGUAGAUGUUGCAUGACAUUUGCUUAAAAGGUGCAAUUGCAUCACUACCAGAUGGCCCUGCGUUGUAUUAGCUAGUUGUGGAGGUAACGGCUCACCAAGGCGACGAUACCUAGCCGACCUGAGAGGGUGAGCGGCCACACUGGGACGGGGAGACGGCCCAGACUCCUACGGGAGGCAGCAGUAGGGAAUCUUCGGCAAUGGACGGAAGUCUGAACGAGCAACGCCGCGUGAGUGAAGAAGGUUUUCGGAUCGUAAAGCUCUGUUGUAAGAGAAGAACGAGUGUGAGAGUGGAAAGGUCACACUGUGACGGUAUCUUACCAGAAAGGGACGGCUAACUACGUG
rnacentral:rRNA from 1 species